rnacentral:lncRNA from 1 species
UUUUUUAAUAAUUCCAGUCUAUAACUACACUACAAAAUAAGUUAUAAAAAACAAAGAUAAACAUAUAAUAACAAAGUUUUGUUUCAUCCUUCAGUCAUAGUAAUUUCUUUAUUGGUUUACUGUCAAACAUGAUGUUUUAAUAUACCUCUCUUGAAGAGAUAUAUAUAAAUAUAUAUAUAUAUAUAUACUAUAUAUAUAUAUCACCAUAUUAAAGAUUUUAGUAAGUCAAGAAGGAAGGAAACUUGUUUAUCUUUGUUAGUACUAUUUGGAAUGACUAAUAUUAUAUCCCAGUGAAAGCUUUUUUGAAGGAAACAUAACAAAAUAUUUUGAUACACUGGGGUACUUGGGACCAUCUUCUAAAAUCCUCAACUUUCUUCUAGCUUCAGCUUAUUAAAAUAUUUUGUAUAAAAAAUACAAAAAAAUCUGAUAUUUUCACUUUCUGAAUUGUAUAGAAGCACCACAAUCUUUCCACCUACUGUAUAUUCUUCUAAUGCAGGAAAGCCCACUCUAUACUCUAUGCAUGCAGUCCAUUUCUUAGUGCAAAACACUCAUAUCCAAAUAUCUGUGGGGUUUUUUUUUUAUCUUUUAUAGGUAAAAAUCUCACAUCACUCAUUGUCAGGUAAAUACGAAUCAAAACUACAAUGAGAUAUCACCUCACAUUGAUCAGAAUAGCUAAAAUUAACAAGUCAGGAAACGACAGAUAUUGAUGAAGAUGCAGAGUAAAGGGAACCCUCUUACAUGGUUCGUAGGAAUGCAAGCUGGUACAGCCACUCUGAAGAACAGUAUGGAGGUUCCUCAAAAAGUUAAAAAUAGGACUACUGUAUGAUAGAGUAAUUGUACUAGUAGGCAUUUACUAAAGGUCAUGAAAUACUGAUUUGGAGGGGAUGCAUGCACCCCAAUCUUUAUAACAGUAUUAUCAACAAUAGCCAAAUUAUGGAAAGAGCCCAAAUAUCCAUCAACUGAUGAAUGGAUAAAGAAGAUGUGGAUAAAGAAGAUAAAGAUAUAUAUAUUAUAUAUAUAUUAUAUAUAUAUAUAUUAGAAUAUUAUUCAGCCAUCAAAAAGAAUUAUAUCUUGCCAUUUGCAGUGAUAGGGAUGGAACUAGAGAGUAUGCUAAGUGAAUAAGUCAGUCAGAGAAAGACAAGUACCAUAAGAUUUUACUCAUACAUGGAAUUUAAGAAACAAACAUACAUGAAUGAACAUAGAGACCAAAAAAGAGAGAGGCAAACCACAAAACAGACUCCUAACUAUAGAGAACAAACUGAGGGUCACUGGAGGGGAGGUGGGCAUGGGGAUGGGUUAAGUGGGUGAUGGGUAUUAAGGAGGGCACUUGUUUGAGAUGAGUAUUGGGUAUUAUAGGGAAGUGAUGAAUCACUAAAUUCUAUACCUGAAACUAAUAUUACGCUGUAUGUUAACUAAUUGGGUUUUUAAAAAGUAUUUUUAAUUUUAUGUAUUCAUGAGAGACACAGAGAGCCAGAGACCUAGGCAGAGGGAGAAGCAGGCUCCCCACAGCAAGCCUGAUGUGGGACUCGAUCGCAGGACCCCAGGAUCACACCUUGAGCCGAAGGCAGAUGCUCAACCACUGAACCACCCAGGCAUCCCAACUAACUAGAAUUUAAAUAAAAAUGUAAAACUACAAAAAAAUAAAAAUAAAGGUAAAAAUUUGUUUAAAUAACAGUCUGAUGAGUAAUAUACAUUAAUUGUAGAAUAUAUAAAAGAGUAGGAAGAAGAAACUUAACAUUAUUCAUAAACCCACAGCUCAGAGAUAACAGAGCUAAAAUAAAUGUCUAUCCAUUUAUCCAUAUCUUCUAACAUAAAUACAUUUAGGGUACUACUGUGUUUGAAUGUUCUACUAACUUCUUCAAACAUAAUCAUGUGCAUUUUCUCAUAUCAUUAUAUAUUCUUCAAAACCAUGAAUUUGUGACUGUGACAAUAUAUUAUAAAACAUAAUAAAACUCUUUUAACUUACUGUUGAUAUUUAAGUUAUUUCUGGUUAUAUAUAAAUAACACCAUGAAGAAAAACUAGCUUGUAAAUCUUCGUGUGAGAAUCAUUUAUUAUUCCUUCUAUGGGGAAAAAACCUGAGGGGGAAACUAUAAGAUCAAAUGACAUGAUCUUAUAAGGUCAUGGGACUUUUUUAUGCUAUUAGCAUUAAAAUAAAGUGCUCUAAGAUCCCAUCAAUUUGAGUUUCUGCAAAUUAUUGGAAUAGACAUACUGAUGUCCUUAUCAAAAGACACCAGAAAGAAUUUCUGCUUGGUUAUGAUACUGUAGAAAGACAAGCCUUUACCAAUUUCAUUUCCAAAAGGAGCAUGAUCCAAACACUAACCCUGAAGUACCCCAAGGAACACAAUACAAAGAAUCAUCCUAAUGGAACAGAUAGCAAGCAUGUUUGGAAAAGAGACUGCACGGGAGGGAGGUUCAUUAAUAUUGUGAUGUGCUGAAUUUUGUCCCUCUUACCCUUUCAAUCUUGCAUUUCAUCUACCAUCAGAACUGUAUGUCCCCUAAAAAAAGUAUAUGUCAGGGACAACACGUGGAAAUCAGAAAAGGAGGAGGUGUAGAACAUGUCUCUAUUACUUCAAGAAAGUUAUCAGUGAGAUGAGACAGACUCAGUUCCUGGGGAGCUUCCAAAUGUAUUGUUUACCAAUUGAUUCAUCUUAGAAAUGGAACUAUAAAACACUAGGACAAAGGAUGGUCUUGCUUACCAAAUCUGUUCCCCCACAGGGCAGCAUUAUGCAUUUCCAAAACUUUAUAGGCCUCCUUCAAAUGACUCAAGGGAUGGGAAUCUCACCACCUCUCCUGGGAGAUUCUUUUAUGGCCUCUUAAGUCUCACCCAUUAUGAAAGUCUUCCUGAUGAAAGCAUUUUUUUUCUUUUCUUCAGUUCAUUCAUUACCCUUAGAUAAUCCCCUAAAGACCACCUCCGCAAUCCCUCUCCUUCUCUGGGGUUUAUACUUUCAAUUAUCUGCAAAUGGCUAUCAGGCCCCCACCCCACACACAUGCGCAUAUACUCCUUAGCUCUUCAGCCAACCUACACACAUGUAAUUCUUUUAAUCUUUCCUCAUACAUCAAAACCUCCAGCUGCUUAAUCAUUUUAGCUCCUCUAAUAAGCAGCGAAUUUGAAGGGGGAUUAUGGUUUCCUUCUCAAGCUUUUCUCAUGUCAGCUGUAUCCCUUCUCCUCAACCACAUGCCAGAUUUCUGUAUGCCAAUAGCCAUUCAUCAACGGAAAUGAGGGUUUUCUGGAAUGCUGUGUUGUAUAGUACAAAAAAAAA